UACGAAGGGGGCUAGCGUUGUUCGGAAUCACUGGGCGUAAAGCGCACGUAGGCGGAUCUUUAAGUCAGGGGUGAAAUCCCGAGGCUCAACCUCGGAACUGCCUUUGAUACUGGGGAUCUCGAGUCCGGGAGAGGUGAGUGGAACUGCGAGUGUAGAGGUGAAAUUCGUAGAUAUUCGCAAGAACACCAGUGGCGAAGGCGGCUCACUGGCCCGGAACUGACGCUGAGGUGCGAAAGCGUGGGUAGCGAACAGG
rnacentral:rRNA from 1 species